GAUGAAGAACGCAGCGAACUGCGAUAAGUAAUGUGAAUUGCAGAAUUCAGUGAAUCAUCGAAUCUUUGAACGCACAUUGCGCCCCUUGGUAUUCCGAGGGGCAUGCCUGUUCGAGCGUCAUUAUAACCCCUCAAGCUCAGCUUGGUGUUGGGGCCUGCUGCACUGGCAGCCCUUAAAAUCAGUGGCGGCGCCAUCUGGCUCUAAGCGUAGUAAUUCUUCUCGCUAUGGAGUCCUGGUGGAUGCUUGCCAUCAACCCCCAAUUUUUCUAUGGUUGACCUCGGAUCAGGUAGGGAUACCCGCUGAACUUAAGCAUAUCAAUAAGCGGAGGA
rnacentral:misc_RNA from 1 species